CAUACGGGUGGCAGCAGUGGGGAAUAUUGGACAAUGGGCGAAAGCCUGAUCCAGCCAUGCCGCGUGUGUGAAGAAGGCCUUCGGGUUGUAAAGCACUUUCAGUGGGGAAGAAAGCCUUGGGGCUAAUACCCUCGAGGAAGGACAUCACCCACAGAAGAAGCACCGGCUAACUCCGUGCCAGCAGCCGCGGUAAUACGGAGGGUGCGAGCGUUAAUCGGAAUUACUGGGCGUAAAGCGCGCGUAGGCGGUCUGAUAAGCCGGUUGUGAAAGCCCCGGGCUCAACCUGGGAACGGCAUCCGGAACUGUCAGGCUAGAGUGCAGGAGAGGAAGGUAGAAUUCCCGGUGUAGCGGUGAAAUGCGUAGAGAUCGGGAGGAAUACCAGUGGCGAAGGCGGCCUUCUGGACUGACACUGACGCUGAGGUGCGAAAGCGUGGGUAGCAAACAGGAUUAGAUACCCCAGGUAGUC
rnacentral:rRNA from 1 species